GUUCCAUGCUAUGAACCCAGGCAGGUCUAUCACAAGAUCCUACACUAUAAAAUACUGCUUGCACAUAAAAGCUCACUGUUACAUGGAUGAAAUUUUUAAAAAGAGAGAUUAUUCACUCUUUGAUCAGCAAGACUAGGAAGCUGGGUGAUGUCCAGGGGGCGGAGCAUCUGGGGGAAGCUGUGUUUUGGUACCUCAUGUAGAUAAGAUGAUUGACUCCUCUUUUCCUAACAGAAUUCAGAAUUUGUUCAAGUGGCCACCUGCCUCCAGCUGCAGAAUGGAAUCCAAGUCUUUAAGUCUCCUAUUCCAGGGCUCUAUGUUCAAAGUCCCCAAGCCACCUGAGGAGCAGCCCUAUCUCCGAGGAAUGAAGUCGGUUCUGGCUCUAAUGUGGGGGCUCAUGUGAGAAGAAGUCUUGGUGGAAGGGCCCUUGGCACAGGAAACCCGUUGAGUCGUCAAAGUGGAGCCAAGGAAAGGCCCUCGAGCUCUGAACAGGCCUCGCUGGGAAGAAGCUUUGUGCAAAGAAAAGCACAACUGCACAGACAAAAUCAUCUGAUGCUCUGAUUAAGAAGCACGAGUCGCCCCAUCAUGUGAUGGCGCGGCUGUAAACUCCAGCCCUGGAGACAUGAACUGGCACAGAUUCCGUCGUUGGAGCAGGAGGGGGGCAUUCAGGCAGGAUUACGUUGCGGGGGGGUUGUUGGGGACGGGGACCAGGGCUCACAACCAUGCUGCAUUUUUGUCAAAGACGCUUCCGUUUUUACUCAAUUUUCAAUGAAAUUUAAAUUUUUAAAUGAAAACUAAAAAUUUCAUUUCAUUUUAAUAACCUGAUUGAAAGACUAAGUGGUUUACUGAAAGUCUUAGGCUGGGAAACAAUGACAUCAUCUGUCCAAAUAUUCAAAUAAGAAGAAAAUAGCCAUUGUAACAGGAAUCUAAGGGAACUGGGCUUUUGCAUCAGAACAUGACUUCUUU
rnacentral:lncRNA from 1 species